rnacentral:rRNA from 1 species
GAGUUUGAUCAUGGCUCAGGAUGAACGCUGGCGGCGUGCCUAACACAUGCAAGUCGAACGGAGAGCAUAAACGGAAGUUUUCGGAUGGAAGCUUAUGUUCUUAGUGGCGGACGGGUGAGUAACGCGUGGGCAACCUGCCUCAUACAGGGGGAUAACAGACGGAAACGUCUGCUAAGACCGCAUAAGUCGGAACUACCGCAUGGUAGAUUCGGGAAAAGAGCAAUCUGGUAUGAGAUGGGCCUGCGUCCGAUUAGCUAGUUGGUGAGGUAAUAGCUCACCAAGGCGACGAUCGGUAGCCGGACUGAGAGGUCGGACGGCCACAUUGGGACUGAGACACGGCCCAAACUCCUACGGGAGGCAGCAGUGGGGGAUAUUGCACAAUGGAGGAAACUCUGAUGCAGCGACGCCGCGUGAGUGAAGAAGUAUUUCGGUAUGUAAAGCUCUAUCAGCAGGGAAGAUGAUGACGUACCUGACUAAGAGCCCC